rnacentral:rRNA from 1 species
GACGAACGCUGGCGGCGUGCCUAAUACAUGCAAGUAGAACGCUGAAGGAGGAGCUUGCUUCUCUGGAUGAGUUGCGAAAGGGUGAGUAACGCGUAGGUAACCUGCCUGGUAGCGGGGGAUAACUAUUGGAAACGAUAGCUAAUACCCCAUAAGAGUAGAUGUUGCAUGACAUUUGCUUAAAAGGUGCAAUUGCCUCACUACCAGAUGGACCUGCGUUGUAUUAGCUAGUUGGUGGGGUAACGGCUCACCAAGGCGACGAUACAUAGCCGACCUGAGAGGGUGGUCGGCCACACUGGGACUAAGACACGACCCAGACUCCUGCGUGAGGCAGCAGUAGGGAAUCUUCGGCAAUGGACGGAAGUCUGACCAAGCAACGCCGCGUGAGAGAAGAAGGUUUUCGGAUCGUGAAGCUCUGUUGUAAGAGAAGAACGAGUGUGAGAGUGGAAAGUUCACACUAUGACGGUAUCUUACCAGAAAGGUACGGCUAACUACGUG